AGACUUGAGAGUAUGAGUUCGUACAAAGCAAUGCAUAUCCUGUUGUGAUAACAGAAGGCACUUUGGUCAUAGCAGGAAUAAAGCUUCAGGAGACAUAUCUACUAAGUGAACACCAGUUAUCAUCUAGAUUUGCUAGAGACUGGAGUAUGUAAUCCCUGGCUGGGAAGAAAUCUUUGGUGGGACCCCAAAUCUUUGGUGGUCAAUUUGUUUUCUUUGAUAUAAUUCCCACGGCUAAAUUUCUCAGUAAGGAAUGCAAGGUCCUGAUCUACCCCUUUGCUAAUAUUCCAGCCUCAAUGCUCAAUGCUUCCUCUUUGCAGACCAUACAGUUUAGCACCCCCUAAAGCUGCAGUUCCAGGAUUUCAGUGUUAAGCCCACAAAGCUAUUUCCUUGCCUGCAUUUCUCUGUUAUUGAUAGUUUUCUGAAUCCCAAAGGCAGCUUCCAAACUGGGAAGUUCUCAAACUCAUUUUUGUAUAGUAACCAAU
rnacentral:lncRNA from 1 species